CACUCGGCCCCCUCCAGUGUGGAGCUGCAGCAGGGGAAGGCUACACUGGUGUGUUUGGCCAACAAGGGCUUCCCCUCAGACUGGACGCUGAGCUGGAAGGUGGACGGUAUCAGCCAGACAUCAGGUGUGAGUGUGAGUGGGGGUGUGCUGGAGAAGGGAAACGGCCUCUACAGCUGGAGCAGCACCCUGAGCCUCACUGAGCAGCAGUGGAGGAACAUACGAGCAGUGAGCUGUGAGGCCAGACAGGGCAGCCAAAGCCCAGUCACCCACAGCCUGACCACACAGCAGUGCACUGACCUCUGA